GCCCUUAGAGUUUGAUCCUGGCUCAGGAUGAACGCUGGCGGUAUGCUUUACACAUGCAAGUCGUACGAGAGUUUUUAACUCAAGUGGCGGACGGGUGAGUAACACGUAAGAAUUUGCCUUUAGGAGGGGGAUAACAACUGGAAACGGUUGCUGAUACCCCAUAUGCUUUCGAGUAAAAUGGAUUUUCCGCCUAAAGAGAAGCUUGCGGCUGAUUAGCUUGUUGGUGAGGUAAUGGCUCACCAAGGCGACGAUCAGUAUCUGGUUUGAGAGGACGAUCAGACACACUGGAACUGAGACACGGUCCAGACUCCUACGGGAGGCAGCAGUGGGGAAUUUUCCGCAAUGGGCGAAAGCCUGACGGAGCAAUACCGCGUGAGGGAUGACGGCCUAUGGGUUGUAAACCUCUUUUUUCAGGGAGGAAUCAAUGACGUGUACCUGAAGAAUAAGCAUCGGCUAACUCCGUGCCAGCAGCCGCGGUAAGACGGAGGAUGCAAGUGUUAUCCGGAAUCACUGGGCGUAAAGCGUCUGUAGGUGGUCAAAUAAGUCAACUGUUAAAUCUUGAGGCUCAACCUCAAAAUCGCAGUCGAAACUAUUCGACUAGAGUAUAGUAGGGGUAAAGGGAAUUUUCCAGUGGAGCGGUGAAAUGCGUAGAGAUUGGAAAGAACACCGAUGGCGAAGGCACUUUACUGGGCUAUUACUAACACUGAGAGACGAAAGCUAGGGUAGCAAAUGGGAUUAGAUACCCCAGUAGUCCUAGCCGUAAACAAUGGAUACUAGAUGUUGAACAGAUCGACCUGUGCAGUAUCAAAGCUAACGCGUUAAGUAUCCCGCCUGGGAAGUAUGCUCGCAAGAGUGAAACUCAAAUGAAUUGACGGGGAAGGGC
rnacentral:rRNA from 1 species